AACGCUUGAGGAAAAAACAUAACCAAAAACCCAAAGUUCCUCACUCUCUCGACAGCGCCUCACUCUCUCUCGACACAGUUCCAAAACCAAAACCAAAAACCCAAACUCUCUCACACACACACACACACUCUCUCUCUCUCUCUCUCUCUCUCUGUGCGUCCUCCAAAACCAGAACCUACAACCAGGACCGCCCCGCUUUAACCACAUCUCUCUGUUCUCCAUCAGAUCCCAAACCUGGACCUCUCUCCUCUCCCUCUAUCUUCUACACCUAUUCCCCAAAUCCAUCAUAUUGAAACCCUAGACCUCUCUCUAACAACCAAACCAGUUUCCACAUCUGCAAGGAGCUUCUCCGGCCCCAAAGAUGACUCUCUUGGCUCAAAUUGAGCCUUCACUUUCCAACACCGAUGGUAAGGGGACUAAGAGAGAUUUCAGCACUACAAGCACUCCCCAAAAGCGCCUGAGCAACCCCUCUCCUCCCUCCAUCCCCCUUCUUCGAAAUCCCGUGUCAUCUCAAUCGAAAGGGCUCGAUCUACGGCGGACGAAUUCAAAGACUAAUUGUUAGGGUUUUUGGAGGUCCGUCAAGGCUGGCGGUAUUGGGGCCAAGUAAAUGGCGGUAUCCGCCUCAGAGUUGUUUAUGAAUUUGACGAUGUUCCGGAGUCAGCCCCUCUUGAUGGCCACUUCCUAAGAUACAAGUGAGCUCCAGGGAGAAGCCUUUUCUGUAUGAAAUUGUGGCAAAUGGGCGAAAUGAUUGUUGAGGUAGAGAAAGAAGACGAGAGAUUGAAAAUUUUGGUUGAACAGGUUGCUGGGUUUUCAAAGAGGUACUAUCCCUACAAGGUCUUCAUUACAUGUUUACUGUCCUCAAUUGGAGCUGCACUGCCUUCAAUUUUUGUGCAACCAAACCAAACCAUCUGUACCGUACAUUACAACACCAAUAAUAUUGUCAUCAUGUACGAAAACAAUCACAAUAGCAAAUCCCGCAGCAAGGCGCGGGCAAAUCUUCCUAGUUGGUUCUAUAGCAUGGUGGUAUUUCCUUCUGUUUAUAGGUUGUUGGUGACUUCCUAAUAGAUUAAAGUUUCAGGACUCUUGGGCAUUCAAUAAUAUAUGUUACUAGAUUGCAUUUUACUCCUUUCUCACUUGGUAUAUUUGUGCUCUUAGGUAUGAUCAUGUUCUGUUUGUUUGGCUUGAAAUAGCAUAUUAUGUUUUGAACAUAUGAAGGCACAAAUCUUACCUUAGAAGGAAGAACAUAAAAUAGCAGUUAUCAUCAUUACUAGAACCUCUUUUGUUUGGUUGGCAGGUGGUAGUCAAUGUUGGCUGUGGCACAGGAAUUCUUUCUAUCUUUUGUGCUCAAGUUGGUGCAAAAUGUUUUAUAGGAAAGAAAGCUGCCUAUGCCUUGAACGAGGGUCUGGGAGUAAUUGAAGAUAGGUCAUGUACAACGACUUAUUGUAUUCUUUUCUGCAGGAUUUGAUAUUGAUGAGGAGGUUGAUGUUAUAAUUUCAGAGUGGAUGGGAUACAUGCUUAUGUAUGAGUGUGGUUGGAAGUGUCAUUACAGCCACAGAUCGCUGGCUAAAACCCGGAGGUCUCGUACUUCCUUCAAAUGCAAUGGUAAUUUUCUGUCUCUUUGGUCUUUCAAUUGUUGUGGCCUGUACAUCUUUAGUUAUAAAUACACGGGUGCUGCUUUAAUGUCAUUGAAUUGUCAAUCAUAUCAACCUCAUAUGUCGUUAACUUGUGGAUUAUCAACUAGAGUACGUAUGCAGCUUCGUCAAUAUAUUUUUGUACAACAUUAGAUGCUAAAUGAAUUUGGUUCUGUCAUGGUGAUUUUGUUGUUGACUGCUUGCAGUUGUACAUAGCACCUAUAUAUUCAUGUUGCAGGUUUCAUAGCUAUGUAUGCUACACUUGCCAGUCGUGAUGUGGACUAUUGUUUGAUUCUAGAUUCCCCCUUUCUUUCUUAAAAGGACGAGGUGGACUUUUUGAGUUCAUUGAAAAACGACUCAGAAAAUGGACAUAUGGUUAUUGUGAUUGCUGAGGGAGCAGGACAUGAUCUUCUUUUAGAGAGCUUGUAAUCCAUGAACCAGCGAGAUGCUUUAAGAAACAAGCAACUUAAAGACGUUGGGUUAUGGAUAUCUCAGAGGAUCAGGGUAUUACUCGCAAUCCUACAGAGUUAGUGCUUGGAAACUUCCAAAGCUAGACUCCAAUGAGGCCAUGAGAGCAGCAAAGCUUGCAAAGCUAGACACAAGUAAUUUUCUGGAUGUAUUUUGCUAGGAGAGUACUAUUAGAUGUACUCCUUUUGGGGAUAAAAGAUUAACUUUGCACAAUCCAUUUUGGUGCAUGAUGUGAAUUAUAACAAUUUCUUCUAUAUAUAUAUAUUGAUCAGUUAAUUUGGUCUUUUU